ensembl:lncRNA
CUCCCUCGAGCUGCCUGAUGACUACAGUUCAUUUUGAAUCUGUUCCUUUACAACAAACCUUUCAAGGCUUCACCCUCAGUAAACGGUAAAAGCUCUUAGGAGGGGGCAGCCACAGGCCUUCUCAGUCACUUACACCUGAUGGUGGCUGAGUUUCCAGACUCCUCCUGACAGCAGGGAUUCUGACAGAGGAAGAAAAGUUAGACUGGAGAGGGUGAGCACGACCGCCCCCUUAAAGGAAAGCAGCAUGAGUACGGAUAUUGGGAGGAGGCUCCUCUGGAGACCCUACUGAUAUGUUUGCCAGCAACUAACGGUGCUCAGUCUGUCCUAAUUCACAUAAACAACUUGGUCGAUGGAUCAGCUUAAUAGAAAUCAGCCUUUCAUAAGAGUGAGGAAAAUCCAUCAGCUGAAGGACUUGAAAAUUAUACAGAGCAAUAUAUAAGAUUAAUUUCAAAACCAUUUCCGAGCUGCCCGGCUGCCUAACAAUGUGCCAGUGAAUGCAGGGGACGGAGCUGUUCCACUCCUGGGAAGCAUUUAAACAGCAUCUGCAUUUGUUCCUGACAACGGAGCCACAGAGGCCACGUUUGCCUCAGGCAGGUGUUGGAAACGGAUCAAGUUGGAGGUCCGCUGCAUUCUAAGGUUCUGAUGGUGUACUCAGUUAUCUCAUGGAGACGCAGGAUUCCGACCAAGGACGCUGAGGUCAGUGUGACAUCACAACAGCCAAAACAGAGACACGGGUGCCGGAGACUCGUAGGUGUAGGAGAUCAGGCCACAGCUCCUCUGUGCCUCUUUGAACUGCCUGGGGACGAAAGAGGUCAUGAGCUGCCUCAAGCCUGCAAAUGAAGCAUACUGCAGAGAAAAUUAAGUGGGCUUCCUGGUGAUAGGCAAGGGCUCUGACGAGAAGGCGCCCAUGAAGCUCAAGUCAGCGGGGGAAAGCCCGACAUCCCUGCCUGAAAGCUUGUCACAGCUGAGACCUCGCACACGCCAAGGACACGUGCGGACGGCUGGGCUCCUCCUCUGCUGUGCCCACCCAAGGACAGCCAGCUCUUCUGCAGAGGCUUCUGCUGCUACUCCUUGUUGCUGAUUAACCCCUUCCUAGGCCACAAGCACGUUCACUUGUCAUGGCACGGCCUCAGCCCCUGCUGGGCAACACUGUGUGACCGCUUGGAUCUGAUUCCACAGCAGGCACGGGUGGUAAUUCUGAUAGCCUGGUAUAAAAUCUCUCCUUUGGGACCUUAAAUAAGACAGUAACUUACUACACUCAAUCUCUCCCUUCUAUCACAAGGGCUUCCUUUUGUGAAAAUUCAGGACCAGGCGCUGGGAAAUAGAACCACGGCACACGGCACAGAAGGUGGAUUUUGUUCGUUUUCUUUUUUUUUUUUUUUUUUUUUUUUUUUGCCUAUAAAACGUUCACCAGGCUCCUUUCCCUUCCACCCCCAGCAUGGAGAAGUCAGCAUAACGACUGAAGUCACAGGGCAGUGACAGCGUUUGAGAAGCCACACAGAGGCGUGGACAGGGAGCCCCCAAGCCCAAGGAUCCAGGGCAGGGAGGGGUGAGGCACCAGGCAGGAAGGGUGUGGGACGUGGAGCUGAGCAGGAGAAAGACAGCUGGUGUGGUUGGGAGAUUGAGCAAAUAGGUAAAUACACUGAGGAUUAUACGAGCCAAAAUUCUCAUUGCCAGAGAAGAUAUUUAUAAACUGAAACAGGAAGUUUAGAAAGAACCCUGAGGUGUUGGACUGGAGCUGAGGUAUCAGUAUGAACUUAUGUUUUUAUUAGUGGGUGUCUGUGUGUGUGUGUGUGUGUGUGUGUGUGUGUGUGUAAAUAUAUACAGACAGAUAAAUACAGAAAUAGUCACAGAUGAAAAUGUGUACACACGUG